AGCCUGUUUCCGAUUCUGCGUCUCCCUCUCUCUCUGCCCCUCCCCCGUUCAUGCUCUGUCUCUCUCUGUCCCAAAAAUAAAUAAACGUUGAAAAAAAAAAUUAAAAAAAUAAACAGGUCUUCGAGGCAGACAAAAGUACUCUAUUCUAAAAGAAAAUGGCCACAAAAACCAUUUAUUAGUAAAGAAGGGACGUAAGCACCAGUUUUAGGGCAACAAGGGAUAGGCAAACUGCACUGUUUUGUGCAAAUGCAGUGGGUUUAUGAUCAGUACUGCCUUUAUCUAUAAAGCUGCUAACUUUCCAGCCUUGAAGGGACAAGAUAAAUGCCAGCUGCCAGAGUUGUGAUUGUAUGGCAAGGAGGCCUGGACGAUGAGAACCCGUUUUCUGAAUUGGUUUCACCAAUGUUUCUUUCUGAAGCCAGGAAGUAACUUGCCGGUAAGAAACCACCUUUUAAAGGUCUUGUGAUCUUGGACAAUGCACUUGCGCCCCACCCCCGCCCCCCGCCCCUCCACUGAGCCCCAUGAAUUCAACACUGAAGAUGUCAAAGUGAUCUACCUGCCCACAAACACAAUGUCUCCAAUUUGGCCUCUUGAUCAGUCUUAAGGACCUUUAAGGCUCAUUACACACAGUACUACAUGGAAAGGAUUGUCCGUGUUCUAGAAGAGAAUCCAAACCAGACAUCAUAAAAGUCUGGAAGGAUUACACCAUUGAAGAUGCCACCGUUGUUACAGAAGAAGCCAUGGAAACCAUCUAGCCUGAAGCAGUGAAUUCCUGCUGGGGAAAACUGUGUCUAGAGGUUGCACAAGACUUCACGGGAUUUAUGAUAGAGAUUAUAACAUAGAAAUCGAAGAAAUCAUGAAAUGGAUUGUGGACAUGGCAAGAAGGCCAGGAGGUAAAGGGCUUCUUGGAGAAAUUCCAGAAUUAACAGGCACCACACCAGAUGAAUUAAGAGUUGUCUUGACGGACAUGAGUUGUCUUCAUGAACAAAUUGACGUUAGAUCAUCUGGCAGAAGAAUCCUGAUUAUUCAAGACUGCUUUUGACUUCCUUUACAACAUGGACUCUUCUAGGAUAUGGGUGCUGAAACUAAAGUACGUAGAGGAAGAAAGAUUGGUAUUGUACAGAAAGCUUUUUAGAGAAAUGAAAAAGCAAAAAAGGUCAAAUUAUGAAAUAUGUAUUUCUCUAUAAAGUUGCACCCGCCUCUUCUGCCUUCCUUUCUACCUUCUGCACCUCUUCCCCCCCGUCACCCCUCGUCCUCCUCAGUCUACUCAACAGGAAGAUGAUGACAAUAAAGACCUUUAGGAUGAUCCACUUCCAUUUAGUGAAGAGUAAGGAAUCAUUAUGCUGCACUGUUAAUAAACAUCCGUUGUGUCUUCAUGUGAAAAUAUAGUAACUGUAUGGCAAGAACUAUGCGAAACAUUUUCUGUCCUCCUCAUCAUCACUGCUUAAGUAUUCAUCACGUAGAAUAUCACAAACCAGAUCUGUAUGGAAGUGGAUAGCCUAUCCUUUCACAGGCAUGGGGUCAGUGAUAUUUAACAUAAAAUUAAUAAUGUGUUAGUUUUCUUACUGUUUUAUAACUUUGCUUUCAAAGAAUUACCACACAAUAUCUCUGACUGCCAUCUUUCUCUCCCGCUCGCCAUACCCUGCCUUCUCCCCCCGCCCCCCACCUAUAACUGGAGAAACUAUGUAUCAGCCUGUCAUCACAGCAUCUGAUAAGCGGUAGAAAUCUGGUAACCAGAAACAGUGAUGCUCUGGAUACUAACAGAGAUGAUGGAAACAACAGGAUGAACUGCGAAGGACGGUUGACAGCAUUAAUGAAGUCAUUGCAUGGCUAAACCUUGUUCUGAAGACAUCUUCAGUCUCAAGGAAGAAAAUAACCUGGACUCCUAUUCUAAAAGACUUGACCCGUAAUAUAAAUCAGGGCACAAACAACAGCACUGUCCAGUUGCAAUGACUAUCAUGAUGAGCCCCUGACCUUCAGCACUGAGUGCGAUUGAUCUAGCUAUUACUGUUUACUCAAUGGAAAAACCUCUGCUCCUGCUUUCAGAUUUGUCCCAAGGCUUAGCCACAAGAGUAAGAUUUCUUUUUAAAAUGUGAGUUCAUUCAUUCUACAGACGUGAGUUAUCUGUAAAGCGCCAGGUCCUGUGCUGGGGCAGGGGAGCCUCGCAUGAAUCAGAUACCUCUUGUGCACUAAGGAGCAUGUACAAUUCCAGGUUUUAGAGAUUUAGCAGUGAAUAAGACAACCGGAGGAUAAAUGACAGAAGGGACAUCUGAGGCCUGGAGCGUGUACAGGGAAAGAGCUCUGACCACGUCCAAAGUUAGGGUGUGCACACCCCACACAUCACUGAGUAUUUCACCUCUCGUUUGCUAUAUGCAGAAGCACAGGAACCCAUCCACCCUUGCUCAAGGAGUCAUGGUUUUGGAAGUUAUUCCCUACGAUCGCCUUAUGUGCUGCAAAUAAAGUUUCCUGUCUGACGACUCACCUGAUGUAGUUUCUAUCUGUGACUCACCAAGGAGUGAACUCACAUUAGUUGGGUUACAAUAGAGGGAGAUUAUUGAAGUUCCACAUUUAAGUACGGCGCCCUUUUACUGUAAGUGAGUGUCCCUGAUGGAGAGUUUUCUUGAAUGCACCAUGUAUGUUUGUGCCUCAUGGAUUAAAGGAGCCAAAUGCCAUCUAACCUCCUCUGAGGGUUCAAUUAUUAAUGGAUACAGGAGGUAAGAAACUCAGACAGGAUUCCAUUCCCCAGGCCCAUGCCGUAUUUUCUACUUGAACUUCAAGGUGCUGAGCGACUUGCUAACAGUCACCCAGGUGCGCACUACAGGGGCUCACCCUAAAAUCUAGGCUUCCUAAUGCCCACUCUCACUGCUCUUUCUCGUACAGGGUAAUUCCCAAUUAUAUUGUAUUUUGGGUACUUGUCACAUCCUUUGCUAUGCACAGUCCUCCCAUAGAUUCACACAUGCCUCAUUCCCUCACCUACUUCAGGGUUUUUCCUUACCUGUCACCUUUUCAGUAAGGUCCUCACCCGGGGCCCCAUCUAAAUUUGUAACCCUCUCUCUGCCCCCAAAUUGCUUUUACUUUUUCUGAUUUUUUCCCCCCUCUGCAGCGGCUAUCACCUGCUGACCUCACAUAGGUAGAUUCUACUUAAUUUUGCUGAUUGUCUUUCUCCUCACACUAAGAUGUAAACUCUGUGAAGAGAGUUUUCCUGUUUUGUUCAUGACCGCAUUCCCAGUGGGAGAACAGUGUCUGAUGACUACUAGGUGCUCAGUGAGUAUUUAUUAAAGAAAUCACUCGUCUGAAAGAUUAUAACUUCACAGAAGUUUGAUUUCUGAAUAAGCCAGGUGUUGUCAUGUUAAUAACAUGGGGGUUUCUGGACUGUUUCCAUGUUGGUAGAGAAGGUUAAGAAAUUAUUUGCUAAAGGAAGCACUCUGGUUUUAAAAAAAGUAGCUGAGUUUUAUCUGGUUAAUGUAUAGCAUAGACUUGAUUUCCUUUUGGAUGCUAUAAUAAAAUAUAUGUUGCGCUUACAAAUAUAUUUGCAUUAAACUAUUGAAAGCAUGGAUGACUGUGGCAUCAGUGAAGCUACAUUUGGAACUAAAAUGAUGACCUACUUGUGCAAAUCCUCUAUAAGUCUACCCAGCAGGUACACAGUGUUUCAGUCUGUCUCCCCCCAAGUGGCCUUGCUCGUUCAAUAGAGAGCUCACGUGACCUCUUUCAAGCUACUUGAUGGGAAGUCAACCACAGUGUCUAAGAACCAUUUGUAAAAACCCUAGCGGUAGCUGCAUAGUUUAAAGAGUUCUCUUCCGUAAGGUACAUGAAAGAGCUUCACAACAGAGUUUCAAAGGAGGAUGAGUCUUUGACGAAUCUGUCUAAAAAUAAUGAAAAAUAUAAUGAAUGCUAAGAAGUUCUUUGCAGCUUUUAUCGUAAGGGAUAAUUGGAAGGAACGUUAACACUUUAGCAGUAAGGAAGUAGGUAAGUAAACUGCUGAUUGGAAAAUAUAACUAAUAAAACAAUAAAAAAGAGAAACGUAUUGAUCAUGGAGCAAAAGUGUUAGCAGUUUACCUAAGGUAACUAAGGGGAAGUCAAUUCAUAUGGAAGGCGAGUACUGAAAUUCUCAGACUAACAUUUGAAAGGGAUUUCCCAAACUAUGUCUUUAAGGUUUUCCAGAUAAUAAUAGCUGUAUCACUCUCACACACAAAGGAAUGUUUGGUUACAGAAGAUUUUACUCCUAUUGGAGAUUUAUGAUACAGCUAAGAAUUCAAGGAUCCAAAAAUUUCUGUAGUAAAAUAAACAGUGCAAUUAUACUUUAUUUUUUCCCAAAUUAUCUGACCGAGUGCCAUGUUUUCCUAGUCAACCUGUGGAUAACCUGAGAAAGACCACCAUUCUGUAGAGCACCAGUAGGGAACAGCUACCCUGGUUUUUCUCCAAUGAAGGUUUGAAUACAAGGAAAAGUAUAAGAAGUCAAGAAAAAAAAGAGGUUGAGUCGUUGGGUCCAGGUUGCUUUAUUUCUGAAAGUUGUCGGAGGAAGACUGACCUUGUGUCUAAUUGCUGGAAUCAGGAGGCAAAAAGGCAACUUUCCUCUAAAAAUAGAAGCGAUGUGGUGCCUGGCUGGCUGAGUUAGUAGAGCAUGCAACUCUUGAUCUCGGGGUUGUAGGUUUGAGUCCCACAUUGGGUGUGUAUGUUACUUAAAAGAAUAAAAUCUUUAAAAAAAUAAAAAUAGAAGCAGCCUUGUAAGAGUCUGUCCUUAAAGACCUUGCAGGACUGGGUCCAUUCCACAGGCACAUGAGCCAUUGGGGAGCCAUAGUCUUAGGGAUUAUCGAAUGGAGUUAGGAGCAAGUAGGAAAUUUCCAGAACCCGAGUAUCCCCAUCAUACUUUGUACUGCCCAUGAUUAGCGUGGUAUUAAUUUUCUUAGGGAUUGUUCUCAGGAGCUUGUGAACCCCGUCAUCCCUCCCUCCUUUUGCCUCUCUCUCCCUCUCGUCGUCUACCUCUCUUAGUAAGCUUCUUGAUAACAACCAUUACGUUCACCUUUGUAUCCACAGUGGCUGGAACUGAGUUGGUGUUGAAUGAAUACCCACUGAAUUAACAACAGAAAGAGGGAAUGAAUGAAUGAAUGAAUGUUCUUGUGCUCUAUAGAAUGUUGGGCCCAAUGCACUCAAAACUGGUUCCCAGUGUAGCUCUCAAAUAAAAUAGUCAAAAAAUCAACUUUCUAUAUUUCCAUUAGAUUAGAGUGUUUUUAGAAUAAUAGUUUUCAAAACUUUCCCUAACUUAAGCUCUGCUUAUUAAAUUCAUAUUUAUUUUUAAUUUUAUAAUAUAGGCUAUGGUAAAACAUUCACACAUUUCAGAAAAAGGUAACUCAUCUCCUAAUUACCAACAGCUGGGCUAGGAACCUUAUAGUUGGUUGCAUACAUAAGAGCACUGUUUUUGAGGUCUAUUUUAGGAAGUAUGGAUUACUUAAAAUUGUUUUCAGUAACUACAGAGGAUCCCAUAAAAUGAUUAUGCUAAAAGCAAUCUGCAUUGCUAUUGAUAGACAUUCAGGAUGUUACCAAGAUUUACUAUUAUGAGAAAUGCAGCAAUGAACACCCUUGUAUCUUAGAUUAGAUAUUCAGAAAGAAAACCGUUUAAUCAUCAAUUUAAAAACUGAAAAUUCAAAAAUUCGGUUGGCAAAUUGUCAACCCAAAGAAAUGGCUCACCAAGUUUACUUUCCUACCAGCAAUGUAGAGCAUAUGCAUUUUCAAUAUUUGUGCCAAAAUAUUUACAUUACCCAAUUUAAUUUGUUUCUAAUUAUUUGGGUGAAAGAAUGAUAUCUUAUUUUAUACUUCCCAGAUUAGUACUGAAGUUUGCCAACUUACAGGCAGUAUUUGUCACUGUAUUAAUUUUAGCCAAUCUUAAAAACAAAACGUCAUUGCUAUGAAUUGUCUAGUCCUGUUAGAAAUUAUUGUAAGCAAAACUGUACCUUUGAAUUAUUCACAAACAGACAAUGUCUAUUCAUGGGGCUCCUCAGAAGAUCUGUAGUAUUACAUGUUUUUAUCAUGUUCAGUAGGAGGCUGCAGCUUGCCUUUGUAGCCAAGUUGGUCACUUUUCUGGACACACAGUCCUUAUUUCAAGAAAACAUCACUUCUUCUGCUUUCUUUUUUUUCUUAACGUUUAUUUUUGAGAGAGAGAGAGAGAGAGAGCGAGCGAGCAUGAGCAGGGGAGGGGCAGACAGAGAGGGAGACACAAUUUGAAGCAGGCUCCAGGCUCCCAGCUGUCAGCACAGAGACCGAUGUAGGGCUUGAAUUUGUAAACCUUGAGAUCCUGACCUGAGCCAAAGCUGGAUGCUCAACCACUAAGCCACCCAGGUGCCUCUUUUCUGCUUUCUAAGUGACUCUUCCUUCACUAAUAUCACCUGAUUGUGGACAGAUAUGUUUAUAAUUAAUUCUGUAGCCUGUGUGGCUAGUGCGGUGUUAGGUACAUUGCCAACAAAUGUAAUUGUAAUGGGUUUUACAACCUGGUCUUAUUUCCCCCCACACUAAACAUUAAUUCUGCCAUCAUUCAAAAAAAAAAGAAAAAAAGAAAUGACAGAAUCUUCUUACGCUGUCAAGUAGCAUACUCAUGA